UUCCACAGCUACUGGCCUGCCGCUGUUCUUGUGGUGGCAGUUGUAACAUUCCUCUGUGGGAAAGGAAGUGUUACAUGAUUAAACAUCUUUCUUAGCAUAACAGAAAAUGAGCAUAUAUGUGUGACAAACACAA